UACGUAGGGUCCGAGCGUUAUCCGGAAUCAUUGGGCGUAAAGAGCUCGUAGGCGGUUCAGCAAGUCGGCUGUGAAAGUCCGGGGCUCAACCCCGGAAUUGCAGUCGAUACUGCUGUGACUCGAGUCCGGUAGAGGAGAACGGAAUUCCCGGUGUAGCGGUGAAAUGCGCAGAUAUCGGGAGGAACACCAGUAGCGAAGGCGGCUCACUGGACCGGUACUGACGCUGAUGCGCGAAAGCGUGGGGAGCAAACAGG
rnacentral:rRNA from 1 species